rnacentral:rRNA from 1 species
UACAGAGGUCUCAAGCGUUGUUCGGAUUCAUUGGGCGUAAAGGGUGCGUAGGCGGCUUUGUAAGUCAGUGGUGAAAUAUGGCAGCUCAACUGUCAAGGUGCCAUUGAUACUGCGGAGCUUGAGUACAGAUGAGGUAGGCGGAAUUGACGGUGUAGCGGUGAAAUGCUUAGAUAUCGUCAAGAACACCUAUAGCGAAGGCAGCUUACUAGGCUGUAACUGACGCUGAGGCACGAAAGUGUGGGGAUCAAACAGG